AUUGAACGCUGGCGGCAGGCCUAACACAUGCAAGUCGAGCGGAUGAAGGGAGCUUGCUCCUGGAUUCAGCGGCGGACGGGUGAGUAAUGCCUAGGAAUCUGCCUGGUAGUGGGGGAUAACGUCCGGAAACGGGCGCUAAUACCGCAUACGUCCUGAGGGAGAAAGUGGGGGAUCUUCGGACCUCACGCUAUCAGAUGAGCCUAGGUCGGAUUAGCUAGUUGGUGGGGUAAAGGCCUACCAAGGCGACGAUCCGUAACUGGUCUGAGAGGAUGAUCAGUCACACUGGAACUGAGACACGGUCCAGACUCCUACGGGAGGCAGCAGUGGGGAAUAUUGUACAAUGGGCGAAAGCCUGAUCCAGCCAUGCCGCGUGUGUGAAGAAGGUCUUCGGAUUGUAAAGCACUUUAAGUUGGGAGGAAGGGCAGUAAGUUAAUACCUUGCUGUUUUGACGUUACCAACAGAAUAAGCACCGGCUAACUUCGCG
rnacentral:rRNA from 1 species